AGCAGUGGUAUCAACGCAGAGCAAUGGGCUUGAGUUAACUUAAACCCCUUUAUGCCUUCCCAGGUACUGGGAAUGCCCAGUGUUGUGAUGGUGAGCAUAUCAAAAGGACCUGUAAUGAGAAUCACCUAUGCAUUGUGCUCCAACAGCUCUGUCUAUGCUCUAUUUCUAGAUUGCUUGUCAAAUAAUUCACAGCUGUAUAUUUUGAACAGCUAAAGAGAACACUCACACAGCUUUUUACAAAAGACUUCUUCUUCUGUCC